rnacentral:snoRNA from 1 species
GAGCUGUGAGGAAUCCUGUGCUCAUUGUGAUGACAGGGUCUAUCACUACCGUCCGAUCUACAUCAGACGACAUAGAGUGCAUCUGAGCUU